GUUUUUAUAGUUUAACAAAAAAACUUUGGUCUUGUAAACCAAAAAUAAGAAUUCUCUUUAAAAACU
rnacentral:tRNA from 1 species